GACGAACGCUGGCGGCGCGCUUAACACAUGCAAGUCGAACGGAAAGGCCUGCUUUCCCUUGUGGAUUGCGGGUACUCGAGUGGCGAACGGGUGAGUAACACGUGAGUGAUCUGCCCCCAACUUGGGUAUAAGCCUGGGAAACUGGGCCUAAUUCCCGAUAGGACUGCAGGGUGGUGCCUGUGGUGGAAAACGAUUUUCUAGUGGUUGGGGAUGAGCUCGCGGCCUAUCAGCUUGUUGGUGGGGUAAUGGCCUACCAAGGCGGCAACGGGUAGCCGGCCUGAGAGGGUGGACGGCCACAUUGGGACUGAGAUACGGCCCAGACUCCUACGGGAGGCAGCAGUGGGGAAUAUUGCACAAUGGGCGGAAGCCUGAUGCAGCGACGCCGCGUGGGGGAUGACGGCCUUCGGGUGGUAAACUCCUUUCGACCGCGAGGAAGCCACCUGGUUGGAAGGGUGGUGACGGUAGUGGUAGAAGAAGCACCGGCUAACUACGUG
rnacentral:rRNA from 1 species